GGGCCCGCACAAGCGGUGGAGCAUGUGGUUUAAUUCGAUGAUACGCGAGGAACCUUACCAGGGCUUAAAUGUAAGUUGCAUUAGUUAGAGAUAACUAUUUCUUCGGACCACUUACAAGGUGCUGCAUGGUUGUCGUCAGCUCGUGCCGUGAGGUGUCAGGUUAAGUCCUAUAACGAGCGCAACCCCUGUUGUUAGUUGCCAGCGAUUCAAGUCGGGAACUCUAACAAGACUGCCGGUGCAAACCGUGAGGAAGGUGGGGAUGACGUCAAAUCAUCACGGCCCUUACGUCCUGGGCUACACACGUGCUACAAUGGUAGGGACAGAGAGCAGCCACUACGCGAGUAGGAGCGAAUCUUCAAAGCCGAUCACAGUUCGGAUCGGAGUCUGCAACUCGACUCCGUG
rnacentral:rRNA from 1 species